GGUAAAAAUUAUAAAAUCAAGAAUUUAAAAUUGAUAGUAUAAGCUGGUAAAGCAUUCGUUAAGGAUAAAAAUAAGCUAAAAAUAUUGAUAGGUCAUGGACCUCUUUUUCGAGAUAUUUGAGACUUAAAAUAUGGCGGGAAAAGGCUGACUCUGACUUUUACCUUAUAUUUGCAUUGGUAUUAUUUGGGUCUCAAAACAAAAGAAAGAAAAUCAAGCAUCUUCUAAAAUUUUGGUAAAUGACGUUUCAUGAGCUAUUUAGUCUUAUAUGAAAAAAUAAAUGGGUGUUAUGGGGCAAAAUAUUUUAC
rnacentral:lncRNA from 1 species